GGAAUAAAAUUAAAUUAAAUAUAAGCUUCUAACUUAAUAUUUUAGCAGUGCAGCUCUGUUAUUAUUCCU
rnacentral:tRNA from 1 species